rnacentral:rRNA from 1 species
CCAGACUCCUACGGGAGGCAGCAGUGGGGAAUAUUGCACAAUGGGGGAAACCCUGAUGCAGCGACGCCGCGUGAGCGAUGAAGUAUUUCGGUAUGUAAAGCUCUAUCAGCAGGGAAGAAAAUGACGGUACCUGACUAAGAAGCCCCGGCUAACUACGUACCAGCAGCCGCGGUAAUACGUAGGGGGCAAGCGUUAUCCGGAUUUACUGGGUGUAAAGGGAGCGUAGACGGUCCUGCAAGCCAGAUGUGAAAGCCCGGGGCUCAACCCCGGGACUGCAUUUGGAACUGUAAGGCUAGAGUGUCGGAGAGGCAGGCGGAAUUCCUAGUGUAGCGGUGAAAUGCGUAGAUAUCAGGAGGAACACCGGUGGCGAAGGCGGCCUGCUGGACUGCAACUGACGUUGAGGCCCGAAAGCGUGGGGAGCAAACAGGAUUAGAUACCCGAGUACA